AGUGAACGCUGGCGGUAGACCUAACACAUGCAAGUCGAACGGCAGCACAGUAAGAGCUUGCUCUUACGGGUGGCGAGUGGCGGACGGGUGAGGAAUACAUCGGAAUCUACUUUUUCGUGGGGGAUAACGUAGGGAAACUUACGCUAAUACCGCAUACGACCUACGGGUGAAAGCAGGGGAUCUUCGGACCUUGCGCGAUUGAAUGCGCCGAUGUCGGAUUAGCUAGUUGGCGGGGUAAAGGCCCACCGAGGCGACGAUCCGUAGCUGGUCUGAGAGGAUGAUCGGCCACACUGGAACGUAGACACGGUCCAGACGACUACGAGAGGCAGCAGUGGGGAAUAUUGGACAAUGGGCGCAAGCCUUAUCCAGCCAUACCGCGUGGGUGAAGAAGGCCUUCGGGUUGUAAAGCCCUUUUGUUGGGAAAGAAAAGCAGCAGGUUAAGACCCCGCUGUUCUGACGGUACCCAAUGAAUAAGCACCGGCUAACUUCGUG
rnacentral:rRNA from 1 species